rnacentral:rRNA from 1 species
CGCCCAACAGCUAGCCCACAAACACAACAACAACCAACCACUAUUUAUAACCCCAAAUACACGAGUGUUUUAAUUAAACAAACCAUUUUUCCCCUUUAGUAUGGGCGACAGAAAAAGGACCCAGGAGCAAUAGAGAAAGUACCGCAAGGGAUUGCUGAAAGAGAAAUGAAAGAACCCAGUAAAGCCAAGUAAAGCAGAGAUUUACCCUCGUACCUUUUGCAUCAUGAUUUAGCUAGCGUGACCCAAGCAAAGAGUGCUUUAGUUUGACACCCCGAAACUAGGGGAGCUACUCCAAGACAGCCUAUUUAUAGGGCGAACCCGUCUCUGUGGCAAAAGAGUGGAAUGAGCUUUGAGUAGAGGUGAUAAACCUACCGAACCUAGUUAUAGCUGGUUGCCCGGGAAUUGGAUAGAAGUUCAGCCCCCCAGAUUCUUUAUUCAAAUCAGUAUUACCCCACCUGAUAACACGAGAAGCUGUGAGAGUUAUUCAAAGGGGGUACAGCCCCUUUGAAACAAGAUACAACUUUCCCGGGAGGAAAAGAUCAUAAUUAAAUAAAGGUAAGUAUUUGGGUGGGCCUAAAAGCAGCCAUCCCAAUAGAAAGCGUUAUAGCUCAAAUACAUCACUACCCCUCUCUAUCCUGAUCAUUAAUUCUUACUCCCCCCUUUCCUACCGGGCCAUCCCAUGCAAACAUGGGAGAGACCCUGCUAAUAUGAGUAAUAAGAGAGCCAAGCCUCUCUCCCUGCACACAUGUAAUUCGGAACGAACCCGCACCGAGCAUUAACGACCCCAAACGAAGAGGGCCCUGAACAACAACCCAAACAACCAGAAAAAAAUUCAAACACAAACCGUUAACCCUACACAGGUGUGCACUUUAGGAAAGACUAAAAGAAAGAGAAGGAACUCGGCAAACAAAUCAAGCCUCGCCUGUUUACCAAAAACAUCGCCUCUUGCAAAGCUAAAGAAUAAGAGGUCCCGCCUGCCCUGUGACUAUUAGUUUAACGGCCGCGGUAUUUUGACCGUGCAAAGGUAGCGCAAUCACUUGUCUUUUAAAUGAAGACCUGUAUGAAUGGCACAACGAGGGCUUAACUGUCUCCUCUUUCAAGUCAAUGAAAUUGAUCUCCCCGUGCAGAAGCGGGGAUAUAAACAUAAGACGAGAAGACCCUAUGGAGCUUUAGACACCAAAGAAGAUCCUGUCAAAUAACCCCCAAUAAGGGCCUGAACUAAUGGAAUCCAAUUAAGAGCCGCAGCUCUAAUUAACAGAAUAUCUGACCAAUAAGAUCCGGCAAUGCCGAUCAACGGACCGAGUUACCCUAGGGAUAACAGCGCAAUCCCCUUUUAGAGCCCAUAUCGACAAGGGGGUUUACGACCUCGAUGUUGGAUCAGGACAUCCUAAUGGUGCAGCCGCUAUUAAGGGUCCGUUUGUUCAACGGUUAAAGUCCUACGUGAUCUGAGUUCAGACCGGAGUAAUCCAGGUCAGUUUCUAUCUAUGGUGUGCUCUUUUCUAGUACGAAAGGACCGAAAAGAAGAGGCCCAUGCUCUAAGCAAGCCUCACCCCCACCUAAUGAAGACAACUAAAGUAGGCAAGAGGGCAUACCCCCCG